AGUGAACGCUGGCGGCAGGCCUAACACAUGCAAGUCGGACGGCAGCACAGCAGUAGCAAUACUGUGGGUGGCGAGUGGCGGACGGGUGAGGAAUACAUGGGAAUCUACCCUGUCGUGGGGGAUAACGUAGGGAAACUUACGCUAAUACCGCAUACGACCGAGAGGUGAAAGCGGCGGACCGCAAGGCGUCGCGCGAUUGGAUGAGCCCAUGUCGGAUUAGCUAGUUGGCGGGGUAAAGGCCCACCAAGGCGACGAUCCGUAGCUGGUCUGAGAGGAUGAUCAGCCACACUGGAACUGAGACACGGUCCAGACUCCUACGGGAGGCAGCAGUGGGGAAUAUUGGACAAUGGGCGCAAGCCUGAUCCAGCCAUGCCGCGUGAGUGAAGAAGGCCUUCGGGUUGUAAAGCUCUUUUGUCCGGAAAGAAACGGUCCUGGUUAAUACCUGGGGCUAAUGACGGUACCGUAAGAAUAAGCACCGGCUAACUACGUGCCAGCCGCCGCAGUAAUAC
rnacentral:rRNA from 1 species